GAUGAAGAACGUAGCGAAAUGCGAUACGUAAUGUGAAUUGCAGAAUUCCGUGAAUCAUCGAAUCUUUGAACGCACAUUGCACCUCUCGGUAUUCCGGGAGGUAUGCCUGUUCGAGCGUCAUUUGUACCCUCAAGCUCUGCUUGGUGUUGGGUGUUUGUUCCGCCUCUGUGUGUGAACUCGCCUCAAAACAAUUGGCAGCCGGCGUACUUGUUUCGGAGCGCAGCACAUUUUGCGAUCCAGAUCAACGUACAGCGGCAUCCAAGAAGCCUUAUUUAACGCUCUUGACCUCGGAUCAGGUAGGGAUACCCGCUGAACUUAAGCAUAUCAAUAAGCGGAGGA
rnacentral:misc_RNA from 1 species